UACGUAGGGCGCAAGCGUUGUCCGGAAUUAUUGGGCGUAAAGAGCUCGUAGGCGGCUUGUCACGUCGGGUGUGAAAGCCCGGGGCUUAACCCCGGGGUCUGCAUUCGAUACGGGCAGGCUAGAGUGUGGUAGGGGAGAUCGGAAUUCCUGGUGUAGCGGUGAAAUGCGCAGAUAUCAGGAGGAACACCGGUGGCGAAGGCGGGUCUCUGGGCAACAACUGACGCUGAGGAGCGAAAGCGUGGGGAGCGAACAGG
rnacentral:rRNA from 1 species